GCCAUUUUCGAGUGAUGCCUGAUCUCAUCAAUCUAGCGGGAGGGAAGGGAUAACCUGUCCGAGCCUAGCGCGACGCUAGGAUCACGCCGGAAAAUCCCCCAAAAAUCAUCAAAAAAAUUAACUUAGAGCAGAGGGCAGUCGGUGGGGCUUCGCCAGAUGCGGCGCAGUCGAUUUUAACCAUUAGAAGAAUACCAGUUCUGGAAAACAACCAAAGUUUCUUUGAUUGAAUGCCCAUGUAAUGCAUUGGAAUAUGAUAGGCGAUUAAGGUUUAACAAUGUUAAAAUGAAGAUAUUACUAAAAUGGCCCUCUAAAUAGCCCAACAAUUAUUAUUUUCUUUGUCCUAUGGAUUUGGCUUUGAAAGAUGUGCUGCUCUUAAUAAGGUCUUCACACUGUGUUAGAAAUAAGGAAGGUGAUAAAGAAUGCCUGUAAGCAUUAAUUCUCUCUCUCGGGCAGAAACCUACGUGUUCCUCUUCCAGAGAGCUGGUGAAGCCAAAGGCAUUCUCAUAAUGAUGCGCUACACCGACUGACAUUUACCAACUGUGUCAAAGCUACAGGAGCCAGGUAGACACUGCUGGAACUUUAACGGGAAUCAAACAAGUCUAUAAGAAGCACUGAGCUGUGCCACUACCCAAUCAGUGUUCUUCCAGAGCACACAAACGAAAGUGGGAGGAGCCUUCCAAUGAGAACUGUUGUGUGAUUAAUCAAUGAGGCUGACUAAAGCACACACUUAUAAUCCCAAUACUCAGAAAGACAGAGGAAGAAGGAUAUCAGCGCAAGGCCAACAAGGCUUCAAAGCAAGUACCAACCCAGUAUGGACCAUGAGACCCUAUUUCAGAAACAAAUAAUAAAAGCUUGAUGAAGCUGCAAAAAUUA
rnacentral:lncRNA from 1 species